rnacentral:rRNA from 1 species
GGCGGGGCGGGGGCACGGGGGGACUCCUACGGGAGGCAGCAGUGGGGAAUAUUGGACAAUGGGCGAAAGCCUGAUCCAGCCAUGCCGCGUGAGUGAUGAAGGCCCUAGGGUUGUAAAGCUCUUUCACCGGGGAAGAUAAUGACGGUACCCGGAGAAGAAGCCCCGGCUAACUUCGUGCCAGCAGCCGCGGUAAU